rnacentral:misc_RNA from 1 species
AACCAUUCUCACCUGCGGCUAGACCUGCGGAAGGAUCAUUACACAACAAAAUAUGAAGGUCUGGCUUCGCGGCCGGCUGAAGUAUUUUUUUUCACCCAUGUCUUUUGCGCACUUGUUGUUUCCUGGGCGGGUUCGCCCGCCACCAGGACCAAACCAUAAACCUUUUUUUUAUGUAGUUGCAAUCAGCGUCAGUAAAAACAAUGUAAUUAUUACAACUUUUAACAACGGAUCUCAGAUCGG